CCACUCGUCUCUUGCUCUGGCAAACUCCAGCCAAUCGCAAUCCAGUAUGCUGUUGCCUGGCAACAAAACCGCUCAACACGUGGGCUGCUGCUCCAGCAAACUGCAGCGAUGGGUGCAGAGUGGUAAAAUGGUAAAUGGCCUGUAUUUGAUAUAGCGCCAUCUAGAGUCCUGGAACCCCCAAGGCGCUUUACAAUACAAUCAGUCAUUCAUCCAUUCACACACACGUUCAAACCCUAGUGAUGAUGAGCUACAUUGUAGCCACAGCUUCCCUGGGUACAUGAGGAUGAUUCUUCCCAACUGCCUGGGCCACUCUCAGAUGGGACAAAUAAAACCAAAAUCCCUGAGUUAACUUUCAUGGACAAUAAAAGAUUUUAAAAGAUGCACAUCAAGGUAAAUUGAAACUCAAGUGUCUUGUCCACGCUCCUGGACAGACAUUCCCCAUCAUGCGCUCUGCGCUCCUCUGACCAAGGCCUGCUCGUUGUUCCUCGUUCUAGGUGUCGUACUCGCGGGGACCGGGCUUUCUCAGCACUAGCACCGUCACUUUGGAACCAGUUGCCACCCUCAGUUAGGCUGUCCCCAUCUCUGCCAGUCUUCAAGAGCCGCCUAAAAACACACCUCCUCCGCUUGGCGUUCCCUGAAUGUAUUUGAGUUAGGCCAUCAUUUAUGUUGAUUUUAUCUCACAGUCUUCAUUGGUUCAAUUUUUCCCUUGUUUUACACAUUUGUAUUCUACUAGAAUGUUUCACCUUUUUUGUAAUUUGUAAUCUGUAAUUUGAAUUGCUUUUAUUUUCUGAUUUAUUCACUUUAUUUGACUUUGUUCUGUACAGUGUUCAGCGCCUUGGGCUUCCUGACAGGGUUGCGGAAGGCGCUUUAUAAAUAAAGCUUUGACUGAUUGA